GACAGAGGUGCCAAGCGUUAGGCGGAAUCACUGGGCUUAAAGCGUGUGUAGGCGGGUGCCUAAGUAACUUGUGAAAUCCCACGGCUCAACCGUGGAACUGCUCGGUAUACUGGGUGCCUUGAGCCACUUAGGGGCUACCGGAACAAAUGGUGGAGCGGUGAAAUGCGUAGAUAUCAUUUGGAACGCCAAUGGUGAAAACAGGUAGCUGGGAGUGUGCUGACGCUGAGACACGAAAGCCAGGGGAGCGAACGGG
rnacentral:rRNA from 1 species